rnacentral:rRNA from 1 species
ACCAGACUCCUACGGGAGGCAGCAGUGGGGAAUAUUGCACAAUGGGGGAAACCCUGAUGCAGCGACGCCGCGUGAGCGAUGAAGUAUUUCGGUAUGUAAAGCUCUAUCAGCAGGGAAGAAAAUGACGGUACCUGACUAAGAAGCCCCGGCUAACUACGUGCCAGCAGCCGCGGUAAUACGUAGGGGGCAAGCGUUAUCCGGAUUUACUGGGUGUAAAGGGAGCGUAGACGGCUGUGCAAGCCAGAUGUGAAAGGCCGGGGCUCAACCCCGGGACUGCAUUUGGAACUGUGUGGCUGGAGUGUCGGAGAGGCAGGCGGAAUUCCUAGUGUAGCGGUGAAAUGCGUAGAUAUCAGGAGGAACACCGGCGGCGAAGGCGGCCUGCUGGACUGAAACUGACGUUGAGGCUCGAAAGCGUGGGGAGCAAACAGGAUUAGAUACCCGGGUAAU